UGUAGGACCUUUAAGGCCAUGGUGGAACUUGGCCAAAGAUAAUGAGAUGUAAUAAGAUGAGUAUGAGAUAUUCCAAAGGGUUGCAAGGAAAGGAGUGAAUUGGUGUUGAGGGAAGAAGAGCAGAGGAGUGGUUGAGGAUUCUUUCAUAAUGGGUGACUGAGAAGAUGCUGUUGCCAUCAUAGUUGGCAAAUACAGAAGAAGGGGCAAUCUGGGGCUGUGGGGGCUAAUAGGCCUGUGCAAUCCAAUUGCUGCCACAACAGGGAAAUUAAGACACUGAGAACCUGAGCAACUGGCCAAAGAAUUUAAGUAAUUUGCUGGAAAGAGCAGAAUCAGAAUGCAAACCCUGGAAUUCAGACUCCAGAACCACACUCUUAACCAGGAACAGACAGCAGUGGGACUGGCCAGGUGCCACAGGACACACGUGCUUAAGCAGAACAAAGGAGUACACGUUGAGUCUGAAACUGGGAAAGAGAUUCCUACACAACGUGAUAAAUCCAGAACGAGCGG